CACGUAGGGCGCGAGCGUUGUCCGGAAUUAUUGGGCGUAAAGAGCUCGUAGGCGGCCUGUUGCGUCCGCUGUGAAAUCCCGGGGCUUAACCCCGGGCGUGCAGUGGAUACGGGCUGGCUGGAGGCAGGCAGGGGAGAACGGAAUUCCCGGUGUAGCGGUGAAAUGCGCAGAUAUCGGGAGGAACACCGGUGGCGAAGGCGGUUCUCUGGGCCUGUACUGACGCUGAGGAGCGAAAGCGUGGGGAGCGAACAGG
rnacentral:rRNA from 1 species